UACGUAGGGGGCGAGCGUUGUCCGGAUUUAUUGGGCGUAAAGAGCUCGUAGGCGGCUUGUCACGUCGGAUGUGAAAGCCCGAGGCUUAACCUCGGGUCUGCAUUCGAUACGGGCUAGCUAGAGUGUGGUAGGGGAGAUCGGAAUUCCUGGUGUAGCGGUGAAAUGCGCAGAUAUCAGGAGGAACACCGGUGGCGAAGGCGGAUCUCUGGGCCAUUACUGACGCUGAGGAGCGAAAGCGUGGGGAGCGAACAGG
rnacentral:rRNA from 1 species